ensembl:lncRNA
AUUGGUGUCACCUGUUGGUGUCACCCAUUGCUGUCACCCAUUGUCACCCCUUGGUGUCACCCCUUGGUGUCACCCACUGCUGUCACCCAUUGCUGUCACCCAGCACUGUCACCCAUUGUCACCCCUUGGUGUCACCCGUUGGUGUCACCCGUUGGUGUCACCCACUGCUGUCACCCACUGCUGUCACCCAGCACUGUCACCCAUUGUCACCCAUUGGUGUCACCCACUGCUGUCACCCCUUGGUGUCACCCCUUGGUGUCACCCAUUGCUGUCACCCAUUGCUGUCACCCAUUGUCACCCCUUGGUGUCACCCAUUGGUGUCACCCAUUGUCACCCGUUGGUGUCACCCGUUGGUGUCACCCGGCGUCGCGGUGACAUCGCUGUCCCCAUUCCCCCCCCCAGAAGCUGAAGCGGCGGCGCCCGCCCUCCUCCCCCCCCCCAGACGCGGGGUCCGCUCCUCGUCACGCCCCCUUGGAGGACUCCGCCAACACCGGCCCUCCCCAGCUGUCCCUGCUCCAGCUGCGCCGCCGCCAGGUGGGUUGGCCCCACUGGAGGACCAACGUUGCCCCACUGGAGGACCAACGUUGCCCCACUGGAGGACCAACGUUGCCCCACUGGAGGACCAAUGUGUCCCCCCUGGAGGACCAACGUGGCCCCCCUGGAGGACCAACGUGGCCCCCCUGGAGGAC